UGUAGCGGUGAAAUGCUUAGAUAUCACGAAGAACCCCGAUUGCGAAGGCAGCUUGCCAGGCCUGGACUGACGUUGAGGCUCGAAGGUGCGGGUAUCGAACAGGAUUAGAUACCCUGGUAGUCCGCACGGUAAACGAUGGAUACUCGCUGUCGGCGAUACACGGUCGGCGGCCAAGCGAAAGCGUUAAGUAUCCCACCUGGGGAGUACGCCGGCAACGGUGAAACUCAAAGGAAUUGACGGGGGCCCGCACAAGCGGAGGAACAUGUGGUUUAAUUCGAUGAUACGCGAGGAACCUUACCCGGGCUUGAACUGUGCCUGACAGCCUCAGAGAUGGGGCUUCCAGCAAUGGCAGGCAUGGAGGUGCUGCAUGGUUGUCGUCAGCUCGUGCCGUGAGGUGUCGGCUUAAGUGCCAUAACGAGCGCAACCCCUCCCGCCAGUUGCCAUCAGGUAAAGCUGGGCACUCUGGGGGCACUGCCACCGCAAGGUGUGAGGAAGGUGGGGAUGACGUCAAAUCAGCACGGCCCUUACGUCCGGGGCUACACACGUGUUACAAUGGGAGGUCACAGAGGGCUGCUACCCGGCGACGGGACGCCAAUCCCCAAACCCUCCCUCAGUACGGACUGGAGUCUGCAACCCGACUCCACGAAGCUGGAUUCGCUAGUAAUCGCGCAUCAGCCACGGCGCGGUGAAUACGUUCCCGGGCCUUGUACACACCGCCCGUCAAGCCAUG
rnacentral:rRNA from 1 species